CAGCAGCCGCGGUAAUACGUAGGGUGCAAGCGUUAAUCGGAAUUACUGGGCGUAAAGGGUGCGUAGGCGGGUCUUUAAGUCAGGGGUGAAAUCCUGGAGCUCAACUCCAGAACUGCCUUUGAUACUGAAGAUCUUGAGUUCGGGAGAGGUGAGUGGAACUGCGAGUGUAGAGGUGAAAUUCGUAGAUAUUCGCAAGAACACCAGUGGCGAAGGCGGCUCACUGGCCCGAUACUGACGCUGAGGCACGAAAGCGUGGGGAGCAAACAGGAUUAGAUACCCCAGUAGUCCCUGUCUCUUAUAC
rnacentral:rRNA from 1 species